rnacentral:rRNA from 1 species
UGAGUACGAGAUGCUACGGCAUCAAAGCAGUCUAUGUCAUACUUCCAAGAAAAGCUUGCACUGUCAUAAACAAAGAAUGCCUGUACCAUAACCGACACAGGUGGGUAAGUAGAGUAUACUAAGGGGCGCGAGAUAACUCUCUCUAAGGAACUCGGCAAAAUGACUCCGUAACUUCGGGAGAAGGAGUGCCUUAUUUCUAAGGUUGCAAUAACAAGAUCCAAGCAACUGUUUACCAAAAACACAGGUCUCCGCUAAGUCGUAAGACGAUGUAUGGGGGCUGACGCCUGCCCAGUGCCAGAAGGUUAAAGAAGUUGGUUAGCAUUAGCGAAGCUGAUAACUGAAGCCCUGGUGAGCGGCGGCCGUAACAAUAACGGUCCUAAGGUAGCGAAAUUCCUUGUCGGGUAAGUUCCGACCCGCACGAAAGGCGUAAUGAUUUGGAUACUGUCUCGGAGAGGGGCUCGGUGAAAUAGACUUGUCUGUGAAGAUGCGGACUACCUGCACCUGGACAGAAAGACCCUAUGAAGCUUUACUGUAACUUGAGAUUGAAAUUGGACUUUAUUUGCGCAGUAUAGGUGGGAGGCGUUGAGAAUAAUCUUGCGGGAUUGUUGGAGCCAUCAGUGAGAUACCACUCUUGUAAUGUUAGAUUUCUAACUUUGUAUCAUUAUCUGGUCAAAGAACAGUUUCAGGCGGGCAGUUUGACUGGGGCGGUCGCCUCCCAAAGGGUAACGGAGGCGCACAAAGGUUUCCUCUGAACGGGUAGAAAUCGUAUCUAGAGUGUAAAGGCAUAAGGAAGCUUGACUGUGAGACCUACAAGUCGAGCAGGGACGAAAGUCGGUCUUAGUGAUCUGACGGUGCUGAGUGGAAAGGCCGUCACUCAACGGAUAAAAGUUACUCUAGGAUAACAGGCUGAUCUCCCCCAAGAGUUCACAUCGACGGGGAGGUUUGGCACCUCGAUGUCGGCUCAUCGCAUCCUGGGGCGGUAGUCCGUCCCAAGGGUUGGGCUGUUCGCCCGUGAAAGCGGUACGCGAGCUGGGUUCAGAACGUCGUGAGACAGUUCGGUCCAUAUCCGGUGUAGGCGUUAGAAUAUUGAGAGGAGCCUUCUCUAGUACGAGAGGACCGAGAAGGACAUACCUCUGGUGUACCAGUUAUCGUGCCAACGGUAAACGCUGGGUAGCUAUGUAUGGAGUGGAUAACCGCUGAAAGCAUCUAAGUGGGAAGCCCACCCCAAGAUAAGUAUUCUCACCAAAAAAG